rnacentral:misc_RNA from 1 species
GUUCUUUAGGUUGCAGCAAAUUGGGAUUAGGAUCCGUGCAGCGCUUGUGGCCACCAUCUACAACAAGGGUUUGACCCUUUCGCAUUCGUCAAAGCAGAGACAUACAAGUGGGGAAAUCAUUAAUUACAUGGCCGUUGAUACAGAGAGAAUUGGAACUUUUUCUUGGUACAUCCACGAUGUGUGGUUGAUCUUCUUGCAAGUUGGUUUGGCCUUGUUGAUAUUGUACAAGAAUCUCGGACUUGCAUCAAUCGCUGCUUUUGUUGCAACGAUAAUAGUCAUGUUGUUGAAUUAUCCUUUGGGUAGAUUGGAAGAGAAUUUUCAGGACAAGAUGAUGGAAUCGAAAGAUAAAAGAAUGAAGACGACAUCUGAGAUUUUAAGGAAUAUGAGA